rnacentral:rRNA from 1 species
GACGAACGCUGGCGGCGUGCCUAAUACAUGCAAGUCGAGCGAAUCGAUGGGAGCUUGCUCCCUGAGAUUAGCGGCGGACGGGUGAGUAACACGUGGGUAACCUGCCUGUAAGACUGGGAUAACUUCGGGAAACCGGAGCUAAUACCGGAUAAUUUCUUUUCUCGCAUGAGGAGAGAUGGAAGGAUGGUUCUGCUAUCACUUACAGAUGGACCCGCGGCGCAUUAGCUAGUUGGUGAGGUAACGGCUCACCAAGGCGACGAUGCGUAGCCGACCUGAGAGGGUGAUCGGCCACACUGGGACUGAGACACGGCCCAGACUCCUACGGGAGGCAGCAGUAGGGAAUCUUCCGCAAUGGACGAAAGUCUGACGGAGCAACGCCGCGUGAGCGAAGAAGGCCUUCGGGUCGUAAAGCUCUGUUGUUAGGGAAGAACAAGUACGAGAGUAACUGCUCGUACCUUGACGGUACCUAACCAGAAAGCCACGGCUAACUACGUGCCAGCCGCCGCAGUAACAC